UACGUAGGGCGCAAGCGUUGUCCGGAAUUAUUGGGCGUAAAGAGCUCGUAGGCGGUCUGUCGCGUCUGCUGUGAAAACUCGGGGCUUAACCCCGGGCCUGCAGUGGGUACGGGCAGACUAGAGUGCGGUAGGGGAGACUGGAAUUCCUGGUGUAGCGGUGAAAUGCGCAGAUAUCAGGAGGAACACCGGUGGCGAAGGCGCUCUGCUAGGCCGCAACUGACACUGAGGGACGAAAGCUAGGGGAGCGAAUGGG
rnacentral:rRNA from 1 species